rnacentral:misc_RNA from 1 species
GAUGAAGAACGUAGCGAAAUGCGAUAACUAAUGUGAAUUGCAGAAUUCCGUGAAUCAUCGAGUCUUUGAACGCACAUUGCGCCCCCUGGUAUUCCGGGGGGCAUGCCUGUCCGAGCGUCAUUGCUGCCCAUCAAGCACGGCUUGUGUGUUGGGUCCUCGUCCCCCCCGGGGGACGUGCCCGAAAGGCAGCGGCGGCACCGCGUCCGGUCCUCGAGCGUAUGGGGCUUUGUCACCCGCUCUUGUAGGCCCGGCCGGCGCUUGCCGACACAUCAAUCUUUUUUCCAGGUUGACCUCGGAUCAGGUAGGGAUACCCGCUGAACUUAAGCAUAUCAAUAAGCGGAGGA